rnacentral:lncRNA from 1 species
AAGCCAUGGACAGAAAGCAUUUAGAACCAUAGGAUAAUUUCAAAUGGGAUUGGUGUAAUUUUAUCUGAAGACAUUUUCUUUAAGAAUAAUUCAAAACGCUAGAAUAUUUGAAUAGUACAUUAUUAUAUUACGUAAAAAAUAGCAGUACAUAGCAGUCACAUAUCGCCGGUAUGAAAAUUAUUACACACAUAGGAGAUCUUUUGUUUAGUCGCUAAUAAUGAUUUGAUUCAAUGAAAACCAUAAUAUCAUUAGUAUGUUAUGUGAAAUGAUAGCACUAUUAUUUAUAUUCGACCUCUUAAUGAAAGAGAUGAAUGUAGAUCUUUCCGGCACCACAAAAAGUCAAUAAAAAAAUAUAAUAUGGCUAAUGCUUUUUUUUUUAAACAUUAUAUCUGCGGGAAAUAACCCAUAUUAUACUACGAACGACGUUUUUAAUUACGUUAUAAUGGUGAAAACUUGUAAUUGGCCUUACUUUUUUUUUCACUUAUGCGACGAUUUUAUUUAUAGCUAAAUAUAUAAAUAAAUUAUUUUUUAUCAUUAUACACAGCGUUUCCUUAUCUGCGAGGUUGCCUGGAAGAAAUCUCAAUGGUUAAUAUGUUAUGGUAAAAACUUAUUUCCCUCCAAAUAUGUUUUUUGUCCAUCUGCCAUUCUCUUGAAAUACAACAUAAAGAUAUACUGGCUUCCAAUAAUAGCUACAUAUUUUUUUUGUGGAAUUUUGAAUACUUUAAUUAAGUUAAUUAUGGUACGAUAGCCUAUAUACCAUAAAGCCCAUAUAUAGGACACAUGGGAAAAAUGACAAUAAAACACUAUGUACUCAAACAUAUAUUCUGUCUAUACUAUGCAAAUUUAUUUGUACCAUAUAUCGCGUUAACACGAGGAAUUUACGUAAAAAAUACCGUAGAAAAUUCUUCGAAAAAAAUUGAGUUUAUGGAGUAAGGUCAAAUAAUUACUUUCAUUAUACUUGACUAUUACCCCGUUUUAUGUAUAAAAAGACAUACAGAUGAACAUAGAAUGUCCUGCUUUUCGUUUUUGGAAGUUGGUUAAAUAGCUGUGAGAACGAAAUUCAAUUUAUGUAAUUGAGCACUAAACCACAUUACUUUUACUAGUUACACAAUAACUAAUUAAUUAUAACACAUAUUAAUUUAAUUUUAAUGUUUAGUGUAUACGCUUACUAGCCGUUACUCUUGGUUUGUUUGUUUGUCAUUAUCUCACGUCGCAAUGUAGUUAUUUUGUGGUAUGAUUUUUGUGUCCUGAUAGUUCUAGACGUUAUAGAGCGAUAUUUAUUACUUUUUACUGCGGUGAAACAUCUCAUUUCCUUCAACCACACGAGCGAAGCGCGGGCGGAAAUAUUAUAUUUAUUGAAAUCAAACAAUACAAGCCAUAUUACACUGUUACAAUAAUGUAAAACCUACUAAAUAAAAUAAAUAUUUAUUAUUAUUAUAAAGAUAAAGCAUCUUACGAAAACAAAAAUUGAUUUGAGGAAAAUACAAAAAUAUAUCAACAAAAUAUAAGAUGAACAAACACACACGCCUCAACUCUUGCGUUUACAUUCCACAGUGUAUAUAAAGGUCCAAACAUUUUAAAGAAGUCAUUCAUAUAUUUGUAUUCAUUUCUUUGAAACGUUCGUGUUGCUUUUUAUUGCAAAUAUGAAGGUAUUUUUGCUAUUUCUUAUUGUUAUUCUUGGACUCUUUGCGUUAACUAAUGCAAGACAGAUUUCAGAUGAUUCUGAAUUAGCUGAAGCAAAAUUCCGUGUUCGCCGCGAAAGCUGUAAUGAAAGAGAAUGUGAUACAAUGUGUAAAAGAAUCUUCUUUGAUGAAGGCCUCUGCGAAUAUGACAUGUGCAGAUGCUACUGAAAUGCAAAAACGUAAAUUCGCACUUUUUAUAGUAUUUUAUCAAUAAAUUAUGAUAUACAUGUG